AUAAAGUUCUGGCACAAGUUCAUCCUAUACUCAGUGUCAAGUUCACCGCGUGAAAACACACUUUGAAGCUGGCCACACAAACAAAACCCAACUCCACAAAAUGAAGUUGGGCUGCAGCGCAGUUACAUAAGACAGAAUCCUGGCUUUCCUCCCUGCCAUGUCCCUCUUCCCAGAGGACAGGGAUAUGGUCCUUCCUUGCAGUUCCCACCAGGGAGAAAGCCGCCCAUCUGCAGGUCCUCCAAGUCCUAAUCCUCCAGCAACAGGACCAAGAAACAGCGCGGUUCCACCAGCUGCCCAAAAGAACUUCCACUCGGUUCUAAGCGGGCACUCAGUGGGCCUUCCGAUUGCCUCUUCCCGAGUUCGCCGCCCUGGCCCGCGGAUGCGCUGAGCCUACCCAACAGCCCUGGAGCCCGAGUCGCCGGGAUCCAGGUGGACGGCGCCAGCGGCACCUCGAGGCAGAACUGGCCCAAGCCCGCAUCGCCACUCCCGGACUCGCGCACUCCGGCAACCUUGCACCCCUCGCUCCCGACGGGUUAUUAGGGAACAAUGAGGCUGUCACUCGGGCUGGAAGUAGGCACUUUUGACUGCUUCUCUACCUACUUUACGAAGGAUGGCCAUCUCACCGUCUAGUCCCCCAAGUUAUGUGAUCUUACUUCCUGUGACUAAUGAAAACUGUUUGGGCUCUCUCAAAUCUCAUUCCAAAUUCCAGGAGCAGACUGUCUUGGGCCGGGUGACUGCUCCCAACCCCGUCCGACGGGGUUUCAAAGUCAAGUUCCUGGGGCUGAGACAGCGGGUGCAGGAGCAGUUUUUAGACAAGACAGGAUACAGCUGUGAAACGCUUUCAAACUGUCUACUCCAACUAUAACUGCAAUGGAGAGAGAGCAGGAAAACUGGAGUGUAAACAGAAUGUGAAAGUAUAGAAGAAGUUAUAUUUAGUACCAUGUAAGCGAUAAAAAUGGGUAAGGAGAACAUAGCCAGAGAAGACGCCCUAACGGAGGAGAAAACAAUGGUAAAAGCUUAGCCCGCUGAGGGGACUGACGUGUAGGAGGAAUAAUUUGAGUUUGAAGAAGAGGCUUUCUGGAAGAUUUCUGAAGUAGGAGCAAAUUUGACAUUUAUUCCCAUAAAAUGAAGACUCAGUGGGCAUCCACUCUGUGCCAGGCCCUAAUACUGAGCCCUUGGGAAUAUCUUCCUGAGACUUUGUAGGGCGUGCAUUUCUAGCCCUAUGCAUUAUAGAGACAAAGUCAGAACCACAUGGUGACACCUGGAAAAGAAAUCAGAGAAGCUAUCGCCUUUAGUGUAAUAUUUCGCUUCUCAUUGUUUGAUUUUCUCAUCUGUAAUUGAAGGUAAAGUGUGGGUAGUGUUCCACUUCCUGCAAGAGGUACAAGAUAUGCAAAUCUGGAUUUUAGUGUAGAUUGUUAGCAAUAAACCAGUAAAAAUCUGGAGCAGAAGCCAGAUUGCUCUGACCCUGCAGCUGAUCACUAUAUGGCCUUCCACGAGCUUUCAUCUCUCUGGCCUUAUUACUGAAACACAGAAAGUAAUAGCACCAGGAACACGACAGGCAUAUUUGGUCUAUGCCAGGCCCCUUCGUACAGACUUCUCACAAAUGUAGUGACAGCUAAGUGAGGUGGAGACUGUUGUCUUCCUUGCCAGUACAGAGAUGAAGAAAUGAAAGUAGAGUCUACGCACUUUGAGAUUAAACUUUUCUCAGUUACUAAGUGGUAGAGCUGGGCAAUAGACCUAAAAUAUCUGGUUCCACACUGCAAUAUACUGGGGUCCUCUUAUCCAUUAUGAGCAGCAGUUUUUGUCAAAAUACUCCUAGUAGGAAUGACCCCUAGUGAGCUAAUGUAUCUCCUGCCCCAAAGUCAUAGAAAACACAGUUACUGUAAGGGGGACUUGUGGUCUAUGCUGCACGACCCUCCAGUGAGUGCUUCAAGUUCUUCAGCUGGGCAAAUGUCCAGUCCUCCUUUGGGCACACUGAAGUGUCCUUCUCUGCAGAGGCUGAAAAGGUACAGGCACAGGCUUACCAGCCCUCUGUGGACCAUGUGUCUUUGUGGCAGAGUCCUUAGCUAGCUGUCAGGCGGGUCCUCAGCAGCACGGGUGAGGCAAGGACAAAACUUGUUGCUCCCGGAAAGUACGCCAAUGUGCAAAUGUUUUGUAUUUCCACUAGCUCCAAAUUUGCUAAAAUUUCAUUAUUACAAUCAAUGUCAAAGUAUCAAGUUUCAUUAUCUAAUGUAAGUUGACAGUCCUUAGCCUUUUAACAUGAAAGCAGGAAAGAUGCUGUUGAAGUUAGGUCCUUUUAUUGACAAGAAACAGUUCCUCUCCAUGCUUCUAGAGUAGAGAGGUUUGCACAAGUCUCCCUAGAAUGAAAAAGCUACCAGGGAGCUGCAGGGACCCAUGUGCUGUCUGUCUCUCAGCACAGCUUGAUUGCUAAUGUGUUACCGCUUUUCUCUUUCUCUCUACAGGUGGACUCCGUCUGUUGACUCAGAUUUUUCUUCACAGUUUGGUUUUUGGAGAGUACAAUGGAAAACAAGUCCCUCUUAUAAUGUCCAGCUUUUGUCAUUCAUAGUACUUCCCGGAUCUUUUUUCUUGCACUUAUUAGUUCACAUUCUUGAGAAAAGGAAUCUGAUUGACUCAAUAUGUUUUGAACAUGGGGUCAGAAGCAUGUUGACCUUAGGGUUAGGGUCAGGCAAGGAAGAGUCACCUAGUUAAAAAUUGGACUGGAUAUCGUGGUGCACACCUGUAAUCCCAACACUUAGGAGCCUAAGGCGGGAGAGUUGUUCCCAGUUCGAGACCAUUCUGGGUUACAAAGUGAGUUCAAGGCCAGCCUGAGCUGCAUAGUGUGACCUUGUUUCAAAAAGGCAAAAAGGAAAAAAGUAAACAAGGAAAGAAAUUGUGGCAGCCAACCACACACUCUCAUAUACUAUGUACCCUGCCCUUCACGCUCUUAGGGACAGUGCUCUUUAGUGCGAACAUGAUGGGCCAACUAGUGUAGGUGAAAUAGUUGGGGUAGUGAAGCAAGUUCUUGGUAGCAGGGUGUUAAAUUGCCAAUUUUAAACAUUAAAUAAAAAUUAGACCAUUUUAAAAUAUGCAAUUCAUAUUCAUUCCUAGAAAUAUUUAUUUUUUAAUUGUUAAGAUGUAAGAUUACUGAUACUUUCCAAAGUUAAUUCAUCAGCAAAUCUAUGUGUUAUUUUGAAGAAAGCAACUUUUUUACAUGAAUAAAUUAUCAAAAAUAAUUUCAAGGUUACUUAUAGCCUCUUUUCACUUUUUAAGGUUCAAAAAUGUCCUCAAAUUUUCCAGUCUUUCCCCUAGAGUUUGAUUUCUACUCUCUCUGACAUCACUUUAAUUUAGGACAAAUAGUCAUUACAAAUGAAACUCCUAGAAGAAGAAACAAGAAAUGUUCAAAGAAUUUAUCACUGUUUGGCUUCUAAUCUUCAAGGUCAGGGCUCAUAAGAUCAACCCUAGAGAUAAGUUUUUGGGGAACAGCUAACAAUUUCAGAUAACAAUGUAUUUUAGCAAUACAAAAGGAAGCAGUACAAAGCACAAAGACUGAAACUCAUUUUCUUUAUUUUUAUUUUAAAUGUUCUCAUGAAAACCUAAAGAAUCUUUUCCCCAAAGACAGAUUUUCAUGGUAUGUCCUGAAGAUUAUUAUGCCAUAUUUGUCCAUUAUUUCCUCUUGUCUACACUCAUUUCUUAAGGACUUUUCAUGCCAAAACCCUGAAAAGAUCUGACCAAUUUCCCCUCAGUAAUUAGACUAAGAAUUUGAUGGAAUUCAGGUUUGACCAUUCAAAUCCUCUCUCCCAGAAAAUUUGGAAACUGAAACAUAGGGAUUGAAUAAAUUGUGAAUAUAAUUAAUACAAGCUGAGCAUUCCUAAUCCAAAGAUUGGAAAUGUAAAACAAUCCGAAAUUUGAAACUUUUGAAUACCUACAUGAUGCCCCAAGCAGAAAAUUCCCCACCAUGAAAUUGUUACGUGCACAAAAUUGUUAAAAACAUUUAAAUUUCUUUCAAGCUAUGUGUAUAAGUACAGUACAUAUAAAAUAUAAAUGAAGUUUCUGUUUAAACUUCAGUUUUCUCCAAAAUCUGAAACAAUAUCCCAAAUUUAGAAUACCACUUGUCCCACGUGUUUGUGUAGCAGAUAUUCAACCUGUCUUAGAACUGGCCUUAGAGCAUCCCAAAGGCAAAUGUAGCUGAAGUUAUUGGGAAAUAGACCCUGAAGCUAGGGAAGAAGCUCAUCAUCAUAGGAAGAUGGCGCUGACCUGCAAAGAAAUGUAAAGAUGAUUACUGAGAAAGACCAAGAGAAGUUACCUGCCUGAAGAUGUUUGAGCUCCUGUAUGGUUCCAGCUAUAUCAUUAGAGCAGUGGCAUUUCUUCAGACCUCUACAAUAAUUUUUUCUUUGCUUGAAUUAGCUGGAAUAUGUUUCCUUUUGCUUAAUGAGAGUAAGAUAAUUGUUUCCUGUGAGCAUUAUAUAUAAUGUGGAUGAAGACAGAGCUUGGGAGUACAUCAAAACACAGAAGAGGAUAGCACCCAGCCCUUCCAAUGUUCUAUGGAGGAAAUGUAUGUCAUACACCUUUGCAAGAAAUAGCAGUUUAAUCCAGAAGAGAUCUGAUGAUCAACUCCUGCUACCGCGAUGGAAAUUAAUAAAAAAAUGUUUUUCCCAGCGAGAUAGAUUGUUCAGUCACUGUGAUCCCUCAGUGAGUUAUGUUGAGUGUCUGAUGCUUGAACAGCUCAGGGUACCUCAGAAGAUCAGAUGUGUUACAAAUAAAUUGUUUCCUGGAGAAUAAUGGGGUGAGUCAGCUCCGAUAUAACAUACUUUAACCCAGUGGACACUAAUGUUAAUUUUGAACAAAAAGCAUUGAGCUGGAAAGUUGGAAGUUUUGAAUCACACACAAAGAAAUCGGUCCUUUCUUCCAUAAUCUUCUCUGACAGUGAAUUCCAAGUUUCGACAAAGUGCUAUGAAUGAGUUUCUGAGACAGUUCCGAACAAACACCAGACAUUUACUAUGAACAGGUGUAGGUACACUUAGUUUUUGUCAAGGAGCUAUUUACUAAAAAGUGAACUGAAAGAAGCACAACCAAAUGGUUUUAUAUUCUGUAAGAGAUACCAUUUAUAUCUUCCUCUUUGUGUUGAAGCCUGAAUAUUGUGUUGGUAGAGUCGUAGCUAGAGAUCCUGUGACUCUCUCUGAUCUCCUGAUAUUUGUUUAAAUUAGGAACAAGUGCAAUUCUAAAUAAUGCCAUUAUAACUUGCCAAGAGUAUUAAUAACUGAAAAUCCCUGAGUUGUUCACAAAGUCUAGGAAAGUCCAUGAUAGCCCUGGAAAGCACAGUGUCAGUCUUUAAGCAAUGACAUGAUACUUUGUUACUGAAGAAAAAAGCAGACCGUGUAACCCUCCGAAUCUCCAGGUCCUGUGCAAGUUGAAGCCUUGGUCAUCAGCACAGGAUGCAAGGCAAAAGAGGGCUUCCCAGCCCAUGAGCUGCAUCUGUCGGUCUGGUGGAUAGAAUGAAACACAGUAUACAAAUGGCUUUGGGUUCCCAAGUUCAGUUUGCCUCUUUCUUCCAUGACAGCUCAAGGAACUUUCUCAGAAGUAGCUAAAAACCCAAGCAUGUUGGGAGCUGCCGACACCGGUCGCCUUACUUGGCGGACGUAGGGCCUGUGGGUGGGAGCGGAGCCUGAGCUAGAUUGCCCCUCCCAUCGAGUGAGUCAAGUUGGCGCCUGCUUCCUGCCCCCUGAUUGCGCUGGCGACUUAAACAACCCGCUCUGUAAGAUAGUCUGCCUAGCAACAACUGAUGUUAGCCAAUCAGCCCGCAUCGCGCGCUUUGAACUGAUUGGCCACUGUUACCCUAUAAAAGUAAAUGCCUCUCCCGCCACAAGGAAGAAGCACAGAGAGGAAGCACAGAGAGAGAUAGAGAAAGUCCACCGGCGAGAAAGGGCUGGUGGCAGAGUGGAGGCCUCGCGGGGCCCAUGCGGAGACAAAUAAAGGCAAGGUUGCACACCGCCA